ensembl:ncRNA ZK867.6 ncRNA
ACGCAAAUUUAAUCAUCCGUGUGUUGCGUUUCUGUGCUCCACGCAAACACACUAGAACCAUCAUGCCCUCCUCGUUUUCAAGGAGCCCAGCCUGCUGCUGCCGGACGGUAAUGAAAACCGACCAGUGUUGAUUGUUUAUGGCUGCCUAUCCCCUUCCUUUCCGUUUACUCGAAAAGCUGUAGAAACCCAUUGGAAAAAGCAUGCACAAUAGAGAGUA